rnacentral:rRNA from 1 species
AUUGAACGUUGGCGGCAGGCUUAACACAUGCAAGUCGAACGAGAAAGUCCCUUCGGGGGCGAGUACAGUGGCGGACGGGUGAGUAACGCGUAGGAAUCUGCCUGGUAGUGGGGGAUAACUCGGGGAAACUCGAGCUAAUACCGCAUACGUCCUACGGGAGAAAGCAGGGGACCUUCGGGCCUUGCGCUAUCAGAUGAGCCUAGGUCGGAUUAGCUAGUUGGUGAGGUAAUGGCUCACCAAGGCGACGAUCCGUAACUGGUCUGAGAGGAUGAUCAGUCACACUGGAACUGAGACACGGUCCAGACUCCUACGGGAGGCAG